GGAUGGGUGGCCGAGUGGUUGAAGGCAGCGGUCUUGAAAACCGCCAGGGGUUCACGCCUCUCGUGGGUUCGAAUCCCACCCCAUCCGCCA
rnacentral:tRNA from 1 species